rnacentral:lncRNA from 1 species
UUUUGAUUUUAUUAUUGUUCUUAAUAACAGAAUGAGACAACGUCGUGAAGAGGAGGAAGAAGAUGCGACGGAGGUGGUGCAGAGAUAAAAGAGGAAGAAGAGAUGCGGCGAGGUGAAUGGGACGAGCUUGCGGUGAUGGAUCCGGCGGAGACAAUGAAUCGUCAGAUCUGAAGAAGCUGUGGUGUGGAUAUGGCAGAAGUUAGGGUCGUGGUGUGGAGGUGGAGCCAAGCACGAAGAAGAUAGAGGUGGCGGCUAGAUGAUUGAAGAUGGGGUUUAGAAAUUUAGGUUUAGUUUCUAUUUUUUUCAAAAUUUGGUUUAGCUUGGUUUAGUUUGAUUUAGUUUAAAAUACCAAUCCUUAAAUAUG